rnacentral:rRNA from 1 species
UACGUAGGGGGCAAGCGUUAUCCGGAUUUACUGGGUGUAAAGGGAGCGUAGACGGCAAUGCAAGUCUGGAGUGAAAGGCGGGGGCCCAACCCCCGGACUGCUCUGAAAACUGUAUAGCUGGAGUGCAGGAGAGGUAAGUGGAAUUCCUAGUGUAGCGGUGAAAUGCGUAGAUAUUAGGAGGAACACCAGUGGCGAAGGCGGCUUACUGGACUGUAACUGACGUUGAGGCUCGAAAGCGUGGGGAGCAAACAGG